UGUGUAACAUGAAGUUCUUUGUGUCUGUGUAGCCUUGUGUACCCAUGAAUGCAGGUACCUAGAGAGCACAGAAGAGUCCAUCAAAUCCCCUGGCAUGACGUGACAGGUUAUUGUGAGCCUCCUGAUAUCAGGGCUGGGAAGCUAGCCUGGGACCUGUGCAGUAUGGACUCUUAACCUCUGAGAUAUCUCUCCAGCCCUUAUACCUUGUUUCAGUUGCUUGUUUGUUAUUAUUUUUAAUGACAGUUUCAUAUUGACCAAUCCAACCCCAGCUGCAAUGGAUUUGUAGGGUCUCUGGGUUGGCUUGAUCUAGUCCUGCCCAACAAAAUUGUGUGCUGAUGCAACAUGAUACCUUGUGCACUUUACACUUCCCCAUUCAGCUUUGAUCCACUUAUUCACUUACUAAUAAAUAUCUUCUGUGUCUUGCCCAGGAAGCCAGGAGCAUCGCAGGCAGGCAUGUACGAAGUACACAAUCAUAUCCACAUAUCCACUGUUCUCAAGCUGCCUUCCAGUUGCAGGAGAAGAUGGCUCACAGCAGCAACUCAAGAAAAGCUUUGUGGUUGAAGCUCAAAACAGAGUAUCAGAAAAUGGAACAUUCAGAACUUUGGAAGCAGUUUUCUGGCCAGUGAAAGGAGAAACAGUACGUAAAUGGCUUAGGCAUGUUCCUUGUGUUAAUCCUUGAGUCAAUCACUGUAGCCAGUAGGUGGGCUCAGUCCAAUCAGGGUACAUGUCAAUAGCCAAUCAGAAAAGGGCAAGCUGCUACUGGGGUAAGGGGGAGAUAAAAUGACAGUUGUUGGAAAUAGUAAAAAAUGAACCUGCCAACUCUCCAGGCUCCUGCUUCUCUCAACCUGCCAACUCUCUGGCUCCACCGUGCCACAGGGCUCCCACCAGGUGGUGGUCUCUCUGCCUGCCAACUCUCCUAUGGGGCCCCCUGAAUUCCUCUCACUACCAUGCAAUGCCCCACACACCCCAUGGUCAGCCAUCUCAACACCUAAUUACUGGGUAGAAUCAAAACUCUUAAAGCUUAUGAUUAUGGUUAACCAAUCAGAUUUGUGCAACAAUAAAAUCACAGUUUACAAGAUGCCAAUACAAUAAUUUCAGAGCCAAUUGAUAAUGAUAAAAGCUUUAUCCCAAUUAUUCUAACCUUGUAAUAUCAUCAGGUCAGCCUCCAUUCUUCUCCUCUCUCUAUCUAUCUCUGUUUCUCUCUGUCUGUCUCUCUCUCUCUGUCUCUUUCUCUCUCUGUGUCUCUCCCCCCCCACCACCUCCCUUUUCUCUGUCAAAUCACAGGCCUCCCGCUGCCCUAAUGUAAUUGGACAGGGAAAAUCCUGUGAUAGACAGUUUCUAUAUGCAUGUUAGUAACAUAAGCAGGAAGUUUUAAACACAACAUGGGAAGGCUAGAGAGUUAUAAUUAGCUCACAUCUUCCAUCUUAUAAAUGAUGAAACUGGGGGUCCAUGGGACACUUGGCCAGGUUUGGUAUCUCCUACCUGGAGUCUUCACAACCUCUAAAAUACUGAUAUCCUUUCUGGGACAUAAGCCCCUGCAUAGGAUGUCUGUGCUCUACACAGAUUGCUUCAUCAUGAUAUCUCUACCCCUUUAUCUCACCCCCAAGCAAUAUGUUCCUUACAUUCUCGAGAGCAAUCAUCUCCAUUCAGAGUAGCCAUUUUGACUGAGGUGAGAUGACAGUCCACUGUGGUUUUGACUAACGUUUCCCUGACAGUUCAUGAGGUUGUUGUCUUUUUCUCAUAAAUAUGUUGGCCAUUUGGAUAAUAAUGAUUUUAAAUAGCUAAACAAUUGUGCAACUCUCAUGAAACCUAGUUUGUGGUAUUUCCGGCUCCUACCCCUCCUAGACCUGAACAACCUCCGACCUGCUUUCUGUAUUCAGUCUCUAUAGGUGUUACUUUUAUGAAGUUCAUAUAAAGAGAACCAUAGAUUUCUUUACUUAACGUAAGGUCUUAGAAGCUCAUCUACAUUUCUUUGAAAUGCUCUUGCGUAUUAUAAAUCAUUGUAUGGAUACGCUUCAUUUCAUUCAUCCAUUCACCAACUGACAUGGAAUUCAGAGGUUUUGCCCAUGAUGAUGCAUUUGGUGUUAUGAAUAUUCAUAGACAAGUUUUUCUUGGUAAUGUAUGUUUUCAUUUCUCUUAAGUGAGUAUAUAGCAACGAAAAGGUUAUAUCUCUAGAUUUACAGUAAAUUUUAAAGGGAUGUGGUAUGUCCUCUAAUCUAAACAAGGUUAUUUGAUGCCUAUAUGUUUGUUUUUGAGAUAGGGUCUUCCUAUGAGGUCCAGGCUGGCCUUAAACUUUGAAUCCUCAUGUUUCAGCUUCUCUACUGCCAAGGGAAGCACCAGUGUUUCUUCUGUUGCCUCUCCUGCAAAGCUGGUGAUUAAAUCCGAGGUAUCACGUGUGAUGGGCAAUACUCUUCUUCCCCUUUGUAUUUCCUGUGGCCUGUAGGAUCUAAUUGUCAAGGUCUACAGAAAGUUGAGAGUCUGACACAUGGGUUGUACAGAUAGGAUGAUUCCCCAUAGAAUUUUCCUGAGAAUUGUCUCAGAUCUCCAGGUCACUUCUGUCACCACCAUCCCAACAUCCAGAGUCUUCC
rnacentral:lncRNA from 1 species